UGGACCUGAUAUCAGGCAAGAUUACCCGCUGAACUUAAGCAUAUAACUAAGCGGUGGAAAAGAAACUAACAAGGAUUCCCUCAGUAACGGCGAGUGAAGCGGGAAGAGCUCAAGCAUAAAAUCUCCGGUUUGAUGUAAUCGGCGAAUUGUAGUCUAUGGAAGCGAUGUCAGAAGCGUCGGCAGGUUCAAGUUCCUUGGAAGAGGACAGCAUGGAGGGUUACACUCCCGUCUGAGCCGAGCUGAUGUGAAGUACGACACGCUCUCUUCGAGUCGCGUUGUUUGGGAUUGCAGCGCAAAGCAGGUGGUAAACUCCAUCGAAAGCUAAAUACCGGUAGAGACCGAUAGCGAACAAGUACCGUGAGGGAAAGAUGAAAAGAACUUUGAAAAGAGAGUUAAAAGUACCUGAAACUGCUGAAAGGGAAGCGAAUCGCGUCUACUGUCCCUUCGCGUGCAUCGCGUACUGUGGCUUUCGGGCGACAGUAGGUUGUGUCGCGGUGGAGUCAGAGUCAGUUCCGAGUCCGCGGUCUGAGUCGGGCGAUAAAGGUAGGAAUCCCGUGUAGCGGGACCCGCAUGACUCUCCCAAGUCGGGCUGUGGUUGGGACUGAGGUGUCUACAACAUGCAAAUCAAGUGCGUUGCGCGAGCUCUCGCGCAAUCGGAGGAAAGUUCGCUGGAAUCCGUAUUGUCGUGGUGGCACGCGUAGCGAUUAACUGCGC
rnacentral:rRNA from 1 species